UGCGUAGGCGGCUCUGUAAGUAUGGUGUGAAAUCUCCCGGCUUAACUGGGAGGGUGCGCUAUAGACUGCGGGGCUAGAGGGUGGGAGAGGAAAGUGGAAUUCCUGGUGUAGCGGUGAAAUGCGUAGAUAUCAGGAGGAACACCGGUGGUGUAAACGGCUUUCUGGACCAUUUCUGACGCUGAGGCACGAAAGCGUGGGUAGCAAACAGGAUUAGAUACCCUGGUAGUCCACGCCCUAAACGAUGCAUAUUUGGUGUGGGCCAUUCAUUUGGUCUGUGCCGGAGCUAACGCGUUAAAUAUGCCGCCUGGGGAGUACAGUCGCAAGGCUGAA
rnacentral:rRNA from 1 species